AGAGGUUUCGUUUUCCACAGUCAAACCUGAAAACACAAAGAUUACGAUUACACAAGAAGGUGUACUUGGUAGCCCAGUUACCAUAACGUGUAACUCUGAAGGUCAUCCUGAACCAAAUUAUACCAUAACCCAUAAUGGUAUUGGUACCACGCUCAGUGAUGGGAAGAUGUAUACCAUACCUAAAGUGAAGUGGAGUGAUGCUGGAAUAUAUAAGUGCAU